CCCCCCGUGCCCGCAGGCGCUUCGAGCCCCGCGGCCGGCUCUGUGCUUCCCAGUUGCGUUUCUGGUCAGUGCUCCCCGCAGCAGCCGGGGUUUUUCACCAUUUUUCAGGGAGGUUCCCAGAAUCGUUAGGGUUGGAAGGGGCCUCUGGAGAUGAUGCAGCCCAGCCCCUCUGCCAAGGCAGGGUCGUCCGGGGCGGUGACCCAGGGCCGUGUCCGGGUGGGGAGCACCUCCCGGGCAGCCCCUUCCGCGCUCUGCCCUCACGCUGAGGCGGAACCUGGGUUUCACUUGUGUUUCACUUGUGUUCCUGGCCUUAGUCCUCGUCCUACGGCUGGGCACCAGCAAAAGGAGUCUGGCACCAUCCUCUCGACACAUUCCUUUGAGAUAUUUAUAUCUGGUGCGGUCCCUUUUCCGCCUUCUCCAGGCCGGGUUGGUGGUACAUCAGAAUAAAAAGAAUACAAAGCCACCACGCUGUGAAGCUCCCGGUGCCCCUGGCCUUGCAUGCCUUCCUCGGGACAGGGUUCGGCUGAGCUGCUCCACACCUUGCCAAUGGAGCUGUGUUUAACAAAUUAACAUGUCAAUGUGCUGAAGGCUCCUGCAGAGACAUUUCUGAGCAUCUGUUCCUUCAGAAUGGGCAUCCAGGACAUCUCUUCUUGUCCAGGCCCCACAAAGUUUACAUGAUCACUUCCUUGUGUGUAGCCCAGACCUGUCCACUGAUAAAUGCAGCAGAGUGUGGCAAAAGGAACUCACCAGGCAUCCUGGAGGAUGUGUGCAGGAGCUGAGGGAGGAGAGGAGUCACACAGCCCCUUGUGUGACUGUCCCUGUAAGGUGGCAUGGGCACAGCUGGAGUGCACAGUGACUGAUAAGAACUACAGCAUCCACUGGGAGAUGCUCCACCCACAGGGAGGAGCCAAGCAUUCCUACCCGGAUAUGAUCGUGAGAUUCUGGAACACCAGCACAGCUUUUCCACUGGAUUUCCCAGAGGAACAGCUGCCUCUUCCACUGGAUCUCCAGAGGAAAACUACACCCUUUCUACAGGAUCCCUGCUCCAGC